rnacentral:rRNA from 1 species
UAAGGAAUAUUGGUCAAUGGACGCAAGUCUGAACCAGCCAUGCCGCGUGAAGGAUGAAGGUCCUCCGGAUUGUAAACUUCUUUUAUCUGGGAAGAAAUCCUCGAAUUCUUUUGAGGUUGACGGUACCAGAGGAAUAAGCACCGGCUAACUCCGUGCCAGCAGCCGCGGUAAUACGGAGGGUGCAAGCGUUAUCCGGAUUCACUGGGUUUAAAGGGUGCGUAGGCGGGCAGGUAAGUCAGUGGUGAAAUCCCCGAGCUUAACUUGGGAACUGCCGUUGAUACUAUCUGUCUUGAAUAUCGUAGAGGUGAGCGGAAUAGGUCAUGUAGCGGUGAAAUGCUUAGAUAUGACCUAGAACACCAAUUGCGAAGGCAGCUCACUAUGCGAUUAUUGACGCUGAGGC